CGCGACCGCUGCCUCAGAGGCCUCGCGGUCAGGCUCCGCUGCCCACUGCUUUAAGAGCCUUCAAAGAAGCGGGCUCCCGCCCAUGGCCAGCGGCCCUGCUUCGGGCUCCCCCGCGCGGGGCGGAUGGACAAGAUGGCUGCGGCCGGGCGGGGAGGCAGCACCAAGAGAUAAUGGGAUUUGUCAUGUCAGCACUAAACCGAGACUAAGCUUCAAACUUUUAUACAAAAUUAUUUGUUGAAAAAGGAAGCUUCUGCACUACUAAAAGGAGACGUCUGUGAAGUGCUGGACUGGGAGGCUGUGCUGUCUCUGAAGGAAUUAACUUCAAAAACUUGACAGAAUGCAAACUCAAAUCUUUUAACAUUGUGUUUUGCUUAGCAACAAUAAAACAGUGACUGACUUUUACCAGAGCUGUAACUUGGGUCACUGGGGAGAGGGAUACGAUGCUUUGACCUUCCAUGAACAUUUGUGGUAAAAACAGAACUGAAGAAACUUCCUGCUCAUGAUAAGAUUCAUCUUCAAGUACUUAAGACGAAGAUGCGCUCUGACUUGACCUGGUUCACAUCCAUCACAAGUGUCACUGCCAGGAUGUAUGUGAAAAGAAAGCACAGUUUCACCAAUCUUCACUUCAUCACCAUGCUCCAAGAUGUACGGAUCACAUUUCGUUUUAGGCUACAGCAAAAGAAAGUUUUGGCAGCCAUAGUUAUUAGUUACUCAUUCAGGGCACCAGUGCUAUUACAUGAAUACUGCUUGUAAUUUACUGCUAAAGUCUGAAAUAACAAAUGUGGGUAAACAUUUAAAAUACAAUGGGUAUUUCACUCUAGCAAUUCUAACAACAGUAGAGAUUUCCUAAUUCCUAACACAAAGCAAACAUAAAAUAUAAAGAAUGAUCCUAAAUCCUGAAGGAAAUCAAGGAACGACAGUAUUGUUAGCAAUUUGCCAUGACAUGUUUAACAUAACUGCAUGAUUAGUUUUCUGCAAUGUAUACAGCACUGUAGCAGCAAAUACUCACCUGUAAAAUCUGAUUUCCAUUAACAACUGUUCCAUUCUGACUGCCUUGAUCCACAAGAACAUAAUUUUGCAAAUCAUGGUCAAAAUAUACUUCUGCAUGGAACUGAUAAAUAGAAGAGUAAUUGAAGUGUUCUCAUUAAGCAAAUUCUUGACAAUUUAAAUGCUAUUUUAUUGAUUUAUUUUAUUGAUUUAUUUUUAUUAAUUUCAGAAUGUAUUUGGGAACCUCUUAGCUGUGUGAGUUUGGUACUCAAUGUUAACAAAACAUUCUAAGCACUUUGAAAUGUAUAUUAAUGGGUGAUAACAUCACAAGCUAACAUGUUCUAUUAAUAAUCUGGAUCACAAACUGUCUCAAUACUGAAAAAGCAUGUACUUCCUAGACAGAAAGUAUGCUUCACUUAAAGGAUUGAAAGAUACAGUAAUGAACAAUUUCUAUUUAUUCCUAUGAAUAAACAGUAUUUCUUCCUUGUAA